rnacentral:sRNA from 1 species
AGCAGCCGCGGUAAUUCCAGCUCCAAUAGCGUAUAUUAAAGUUGUUGCAGUUAAAAAGCUCGUAGUUGAAUUUUGGAUUCUACCAAUUGGUCCAUCUUUUAGAUGAGUACUGGUUGUGUGGGGUCUAUCCGCCUGGUGAUACGUAAUGUCCUUUAUUGGAUGUUGCGGGUAGUCAGGACCUUUACCUUGAAAAAAUUAGAGUGUUUAAAGCAGGCUUAUGCCGGAAUACAUUAGCAUGGAAUAAUAGAAUAGGACGAAGUUGUUUUAUUUUGUUGGUUUCUAGGACAACCGUAAUGAUUAAUAGGGAUAGUUGGGGGCAUUAGUAUUCAAUUGUCAGAGGUGAAAUUCUUGGAUUUAUUGAAGACUAACUACUGCGAAAGCAUUUGCCAAGGAUGUUUUCAUUAAUCAAGAACGAAAGUUAGGGGAUCGAAGACGAUCAGAUACCGUCGUAGUCUUAACCAUAAACUAUGCCGACUAGGGAUCGGGCGAUGUUGUUUCCAUGACUCGCUCGGCACCUUAU